rnacentral:rRNA from 1 species
AACGAACGCUGGCGGCAUGCCUAACACAUGCAAGUCGAACGGAUAGUCGCAAGACUAUUAGUGGCGGACGGGUGCGUAACGCGUGGGAACCUGCCUUGAAGUUCGGAAUAACUGCGGGAAACUGCAGCUAAUACCGGAUGUGGCCUGCGGGCCAAAGGGGAAACUCGCUUCAAGAGGGGCCCGCGUCCGAUUAGCUAGUUGGCGGGGUAACGGCCCACCAAGGCGAUGAUCGGUAGCUGGCUGAGAGGACGACCAGCCACACUGGAACUGAGAUACGGUCCAGACUCCUACGGGAGGCAGCAGGUGGGGAAUAUUGGACAAGUGGGGGCAACCCUGAUCCAGCAAUGCCGCGUGAGUGAUGAAGGCC